ACCCUGACCAAAGAGAGAGACCAGCUACAGACCAGUUACAACACUCUGACCAAAGAGAGAGACCAGCUACAGACCAGUUACAACACUCUGACCAAAGAGAGAGACCAGCUCCAGAAAGAGACAGAACUUCUGAAACAAUCUUUAGUUGAGAAAGGAUGGAAGAAGCUUGGUAGCAGUUGUUACUACGUCUCUACUGAGAAAAAAUCCUGGGAGGAGAGCAGACAGGACUGCAGAAAUGGAGGAGCAGACCUGGUCGUCAUCAACAGCCAAGAGAAACAGACAUUAGUCAAUUGGUUAUGUGGAGUAAAGAACUAUGUCUGGAUUGGUCUGACUGACUCUGUUACUGAGGGGACCUGGAAAUGGGUGGACGGCACACCACUGACCACAAAGUAUUGGAACAGUGGACAGCCUGAUUCUGUGUUUGUCCUACAGGUAUUGGAACAGUGGACAGCCUGAUUCUGUGUUUGUCCUACAGGUAUUGGAACAGUGGACAGCCUGUUUCUCCACAGGUAUUGGAACAGUGGACAGCCUGAUUCUAUAUGUUGUUUCUUCUACAGGUAUUGGAACAGUGGACAGUCUGAUUCUGUGUUGUUUCUUCUACAGGUAUUGGAACAGUGGACAGUCUGAUUCUGUGUUGUUUCUCCUACAGGUAUUGGAACAGUGGACAGCCUGAUUCUAUGUGUUGUUUCUUCUACAGGUAUUGGAACAGUGGACAGUCUGAUUCUGUGUUGUUUCUUCUACAGGUAUUGGAACAGUGGACAGCCUAAUGGUGGUGGAGCAGAGAACUGUGUGUAUUUCUACUCCAGGUCAUCAGACACAGGAGCUUGGUGGGACUAUUACUGUUACUAUCAAUACAGAUGGAUCUGUGAGAAAUAGGAUUCAUCCUCAGUACUCUCUGAACUGCUAAAUAAGAUUAUGCUAAGUACUAUCAAUCGUAAACUAUUUUCUGCUCAUUCAACUUACCAUGUAAAGUACAUACAAUAUAUAACAAGACAAAUGUAUAACACAUUAUAAUAAAAACAUAUGCAAUAACAAUACAAUGAAUUGAUAACAGAAAGACUGUUCUGUCUGUUGUUGAUGAAAUUCACCACUAAGGACAAAAAAUCCAAGGAAAUGAAUCAAUCUUUAUUAUCACAGUCAUGGAAUUUAUUGAUGUUAAUUUUUAUUUUAAUUACUUUUUAUUUUUGUCUACUUGGUAAAUAUUAUAUUAUUAUAUUAUAUAAUAUAUUCUUAACUCUUCUUGCACUGCACUUUUAGUCCUGUUGCGUCGAGCCAUCCCGGAUCCGGGAUCGUGAAUACAGCCUCAAGCUCAUUACCAUA